GAUAAGAAAGCUUUAGAUACCGUUGUUACUUUAAGUUUUCGGACACCCUUUUUUAGCAUUUUUUUUCGUAACUUAAUUUUCGGACAUACGGGUUUUCGUGCAUAAUUAAUGUCUCUUAAUUUUCGGACAGUAUAUUUGUCAUUGCUAUUCUACAGACUUCAGCCCUGUUUUUUCGCUUAUCUUGCGACACUUCGAUAAUUGAUAUUUACAACGGGAUACAGAUAUUAAAACCUGACAGAAGCAUGCCUGAUGACUACAGACCAUUACAUUCGUGUAAUUUGGUAAAUAACCAUUUAUACCGGUAGAAAUAAUUGGAUUCACCCAACAGCAUUUGAAACAGUUUCGUCCUAUUGAGGAGGUUAAAUGUUAUUUGUUUUUACUAUUUCGUUCUAUUUCAUUUCAGGCGAGAGUUAGCAAAGUUGUGAAGUUUCUUUAAAGCAGAAAAGAAAGAGCACGUGCAGAGCAGACAGGCCGCGAGGAUGAGCCAAUCUGACUUCCGGUAUGACUCGUGGGACCACAUGGCCGACCGCUCCUAGCUCCUGACUUCCUAGAGGGCUACUUCAGCGGACUUCAAUAAUUUCGUACAGAACGCCAUGAUUACACCUCUUUGUGUUUUAUAAUUCCAUGUCCAUGUAUAUUAUUUAAAUAUAGUGUUUGAACACUGUCCGCAACACACAUUGGCCGAUGAUGUUUGAACACUGUCCGCAACACACAUUGGCCGAUGAUGUUUGAACACUGUCCGCAACACACAUUGGCCGAUGAUGUUUGAACACUGUCCGCAACACACAUUGGCCGAUGAUGUUUGAACACUGUCCGCAACACACAUUGGCCGAUGAUGUUUGAACACUGUCCGCAACACACAUUGGCCGAUGAUGUUUGAACACUGUCCGCAACACACAUUGGCCGAUGAUGUUUGAACACUGUCCGCAACACACAUUGGCCGAUGAUGUUUGAACACUGUCCGCAACACACAUUGGCCGAUGAUGUUUGAACACUGUCCGCAACACACAUUGGCCGAUGAUGUUUGAACACUGUCCGCAACACACAUUGGCCGAUGAUGUUUGAACACUGUCCGCAACACACAUUGGCCGAUGAUGUUUGAACACUGUCCGCAACACACAUUGGCCGAUGAUGUUUGAACACUGUCCGCAACACACAUUGGCCGAUGAUGUUUGAACACUGUCCGCAACACACAUUGGCCGAUGAUGUUUGAACACUGUCCGCAACACACAUUGGCCGAUGAUGUUUGAACACUGUCCGCAACACACAUUGGCCGAUGAUGUUUGAACACUGUCCGCAACACACAUUGGCCGAUGAUGCUUCUUGGAUAAACGAAAUGAAAACAAAAGGUCAGUCCAGUACGACCAUUUUACAGAAAUAUCAACUCUGAUCGAGUUUGUCCAAUUAAGGUCUUUGUGACCUUCGUUGUUAAUUAUUCAUGACUGUUUACCUUUAACGCUUAAACAAUAACAUUAAAUAUUCAGUGAA